UGAGGAAUAUUGGUCAAUGGGCGAGAGCCUGAACCAGCCAAGUAGCGUGCAGGAUGACGGCCCUAUGGGUUGUAAACUGCUUUUAUAUGGGAAUAAAGUGAGGGACGUGUCCCUUAUUGCAUGUACCAUACGAAUAAGGACCGGCUAAUUCCGUGCCAGCAGCCGCGGUAAUACGGAAGGUCCAGGCGUUAUCCGGAUUUAUUGGGCUUAAAGGGCAUCUAGGCGGUAAGACAAGUUGAAGGUGAAAACCUGUGGCUCAACCAUAGGCUUGCCUACAAAACUGUUGAACUAGAGUACUGGAAAGGUGGGUGGAACUACACGAGUAGAGGUGAAAUUCGUAGAUAUGUGUAGGAAUGCCGAUGAUGAAGAUAACUCACUGGACAGAAACUGACGCUGAAGUGCGAAAGCUAGGGGAGCAAACAGG
rnacentral:rRNA from 1 species